UAAGUAGGCUAUUAAAUGACAACAUUUUGGUAUGGUUCUUAUUCUAUGUGACAAAGGUUAUCCCCUCAAUACCUUAUAACCCCCCUGGCAAACCCUGCCACAGAGCAGGAGCGCAGGUUUAACAGUGCGCACACACGCACACGGGUCACGGUGGAGCGCUGCUUCGGGUUCCUCAAGCGCAGGUGGCUCUGUCUUGGACCAGCGGGAGGAACGCUGCUGUAUACCCCAGAAAAGGUGUGCGACAUCAUUUUGGCCUGUGCAGUUUUGCACAAUAUUGCUUUAGACAGUGGAGUGCCGUUUGAUGUGCCGGCGCAGCCAGAUGAACCAAUGCCCAGGGAACCGUGGCCAGCACAGCCUCCACUGGGGGCUAUACGGAGGAGACAGGACCUCAUUCAUCGCUUCUAAAAUGACCUCUGCCGUGAUGACUGGCCAAGCACGGGAGGCGGAGGGCACACGCUCGUCUGCCUGGCUCGGUGGGACCGCUCUGGGGAGAGGACCUGGACGCCAUGCAGCUGGUGCCUGGCUCUGAAACAGCAUUUAAACAAAACAAUAAAAAUGUGUACCUGU